rnacentral:rRNA from 1 species
GACAUAGGUGGCAAACGUUAUCCGGAAUUACUGGGCGUAAAGAGUGCGUAGGUGGUUCAAUAAGUUACUGGUGGGAAAUCGGGGCUCAACCUCGUGGAAGUCAGUAAUACUAUUAAACUAGAGGGUCGGAGAGGUUAACGGAAUUCUAUGUGUAGCGGUAAAAUGCUUAAAUAUAUAGAGGAACACCAAACGGCGAAGGCAGUUAACUAUUCGAUUCCUGACGUUGAGGCACGAAAGCGUGGGGAGCAAGACGG